UACGUAGGGGGCAAGCGUUGUCCGGAAUCAUUGGGCGUAAAGAGCGCGUAGGCGGCCCUGUAAGUCCGCUGUGAAAGUCAAGGGCUCAACCCUUGGAUGCCGGUGGAUACUGCAGGGCUAGAGUCCGGAAGAGGCGAGUGGAAUUCCUGGUGUAGCGGUGAAAUGCGCAGAUAUCGGGAGGAACACCGAUGGCGAAGGCAGCUCGCUGGGACGGUACUGACGCUGAGGCGCGAAAGCGUGGGGAGCAAACAGG
rnacentral:rRNA from 1 species